GUAAUCAAAACUUAUUAACUUUAGGAAUCACGAAACCAGACGAGCUAAAUUUCAUAUAAUUGUAGUUAUAUAUUAUUGGCGUAGUAUAGCCAUAUUGUAAAUGUAAUUUAGGGGUGAAAGGCCAUUCAAGUCUGGGGAUAUCUUGAUUCUGGGGAAAUAUAUUUAGUAUAAUAGUCAACUUGAAAAUGGUGAGGUUUUCAAGGAAUAUUAUAUAAGUUAGGUUAUUUUUAGGAUUUUUAACCAAAACUAAUUAUCAUAAUUUGAACAUUUUUUACUACUUAUAUAUAGUGAAUACCUGGCUACUUUGAAUUAUUCUAUUCAAUUAUGAAAAUGAUUACAUUAGUACAACUUAAAGUUUAAGUAAGGAACUCGGCAACUAUGCUCCUCGACUGUUUAUCAAAAACAUAGCCUUAAGUUAUUAUUUAAGGUUUAACCUGCUCAAUGAUUUUUAAAUAGCCGCAGUACUUUGACUGUGCAAAGGUAGCAUAAUCAGUUGGCUUAUAAUUGAAGUCUGGUAUGAAUGGGAAAUAGGGGAAAAUCUGUCUCAUUUGAAUAGUGGAAAUUGCUUAAUAAGUGAAAAUUCUUAUAAAAAGAAAAAAGACGAGAAGACCCUAGAAAUUUUUUCUAUUUUAAUAAUUAGGAUUUUGUUGGGGCGACAAGGUAGCAAAUAACUUGCCUAUUUUUAGGAAUCCAGUUCGACGAAUAAAUAAAUUACUCUAGGGAUAACAGCAUAAUAUAUAAAAGUUUGUGACCUCGAUGUUGGACUAGGAACUCCAAUAUCUAAAAGAUAUUGGCCUAGGCUCUGUUCGAGCUAAUAUUUCCUACAUGAUCUGAGUUCAGACCGG
rnacentral:rRNA from 1 species